UAGAGCUGCAGCGAGCUGUUUGCCAGAAAGAUUCAAACUCUGGCCAGCGUGACCUCUGUUAGCUUGUGUGGAGAGUGGGUGCUUAUCUCCUCGGCUUCUUGUCCUUUAGGGUUCAUACCUGUGGGCUCAGGUCACCUUCUUCUCAUUAGCUUAGAAAAAUUAUAUCAUUUCAUUAGAGGUGUUUGUUCAGCUUCUGAGUGUCCUCAGGCGUUUGGAUGCUUUGUUGGAGUUCUCCACUGGGUCCACUCCAUCAUAAUGAAGCUUCAACACAGGCCCCCACAGAGCUCCGAGAGAGAAAUCCAGGAAGGAGAAAGUGAAGGGAGAUUGGGACUUUGAGUACAAGGGAGCAAAUAAAUCUUGCCUGGAAGGUCCUAGUUCUUCAGUACCUUGAGAAUUGUGUUGAUGGUUGAGGCUGCUGGAAAGAUGAGAAGAAACUUCUGAUCUACCAGCUCCUUUGGCCACC